rnacentral:lncRNA from 1 species
AACGUCAGGUGCAGCCUGGAGCUGGGCCCAAACCCUCUUCUUUGGGAAUUCCCAUGGUGGCUCAGCAGUAACAAACCUGACAUAGUCUCUGAGAGGAUAUCCUUAACCCACUGAGCAAGCCCAGGGCUGGAACUGGCAACCUCAUGGUUCCUAGUCGGAUUCAUUAGCCACUGAGCCAAGGCGGGAACUCCCUGCAGUCAGAUUCUUAACCCACCGGGGGAGCUCCCAAUCCCCGCCCCCGUCUCCGCCCUCGAGCUGUAGGGGGCCUUGCUGUCUCCCAGGGGCUAGGACCCUCUACCCUAGACCCGCCCCCCAUGCCCCCUGCCCCUGCCCCUCCUGUGCCUGUCCUCUGCCUCCUCCUGCCAGGCCUGCGAGAAGACCCAGCUGGAGUUCAUGUCCCAGCAGUGCGCACAGACCGACGGGGAGCCCCUGCGCCUCUCCCCGGGCAGCACCUCCUUCUAUCACUGGGGCGCCGCCGCGCAGUACAGCCAAGGGGACACUCUGUGCAGACACAUGUGCUGGGCGGUUGGCGAGAGCUUCAUUGUGCGGCGUGGGGACAGGUUCCUGGACGGGACUCGUCACUGGGGGCCGGUCACCAUCACUCUGAAGCUGUUGAGAGCGGGCUCAGACUUGUGUCAUACCCGCCAUGCCUCCCACGCCAGCUGGACCCCUUGCUAGCCGGUCUGGGUCUCCGUCUCUGCAUCUGUAAAUGGAGCUAAGAGGGCUAGUUCCAGCUUGGGUGGUCGGAAGGAGCGAUGGUGCAGGGAAGCACUGCGCAUGCUCAGAGUUCCGUAACUGUUAUCACGUCGUGAUGUGAUUACUGCCUCUGGAGCGGGACAGGUGGAGAAUAAAACCCUUGGCUCAGAUGCAAAGGGUGAAGCGAGAUGGGGGGGCGAGUGGGGAGGGCCCACUCGAUCACGCUUCACGGCGACUGGCCUCCCCGCCCCCUCCCAUCCCGAGUCCUCGUCCUUCUGCUUUCCCAGGGGACACUCUGUGCAGACACAUGUGCUGGGCGGUUGGCGAGAGCUUCAUUGUGCGGCGUGGGGACAGGUUCCUGGACGGGACUCGGUGUGUGCCCGGCGGCCCCCGACAGGACGGGACCCUGAGCCUGUGCGUGUCAGGCAGCUGCAGGACGUUCGGCUGUGACGGCAGGAUGGAUUCCGGGCAGGUGCCAGACAUGUGCCAGGUGUGCGGCGGGGACAACAGCACGUGCAGGCCACAGAACGGCUCUUUCACGGCUGGAAGGGCCAGAGAGUAUGUCACCUUCCUGACUGUCACCCCCAACCUGACCAACAUCCAUGUCAUCAACCACAGGCCUCUCUUCACACACCUGGCCGUGCGGAUCCGCGGGCGCUACGUCGUGGCUGGAAAUGCCAGCAUCUCUCCCAGCAUCACCUACCCCUCCCUCCUGGAGGACAGCCGUGUCGAGUACAGAGUGGCCCUGACUGAGGAUCGGCUGCCCCACCGGGAGGAGCUCCGCAUCCGGGGACCCACCCAGGAGGACCUGGAGAUCCAGGUUUACAGGCGCUACGGCCAGGAGUACGGCCGCCUCGCCCGCCCAGACAUCACCUUCACCUACUUCCAGCCUGAGCAGCAGCAGGCCUGGGCGUGGGCUCCUGUGCGGGGGGCCUGCUCGGUGAGCUGUGGGGCAGGGCUGCGUCAGGUGACCUACAGCUGUUGGGACCAGGCCAGGAAUGCAUGGGUGGAGGCUGCCCUGUGUGCAGGGAGCCGGCGGCCGGCGGCGUGGUCCGAGUCCUGCACCCCUGCUCCCUGCCCCCCGUUCGGGCUCACCAGGGCCGCUGGGCUCUCUCCUGGCUCGUGGGCCCUCUAGCAUGGCCUGGGCCAACAGUGUUCUCCUCCAGUUCUGCAGAUUUCCCUGUGGGGUGGGUUCUGUCAUUGUCCCCGUGUAGGAGGUGAGGACAGUGAGACAGGCAGACACGAGUGACAGUGUCAGCCUGGUGUGACCUGCACCCACUGUACCUGGUCUGCGGGCAGCUCCCUGCACGAUGGACAUGAUUGCCCUGCGGGGGAGGGUGGGGGAGAUCAGGGAGCUGGCCACGCCCUGGCGGGUGCUGCUGGCAAGAACGGAACACGAGGGACAAGGCUGUCCUAUUGGGUGCAGGGCUGGGGCAGUUUUUAUUUUUUUGGCCGUGCCCGCAGCAAGCAGAGGUUUCUGGGCCAGGGAUUGAACUUGUGUCAUGGCUGCCACCCGAGCCAUAGCAGUGAUAAUGCCAGGUCCUUAACCUGCUGAGCCACCAGGGAACUCCUGGGACACUUUUAUACAGAUGUCCUCAGGCUCUGGUGCAGCUUGGGGUCUGGAGAGCUGAAGGGUGGGGCGCUGCAGCCCAGAGCAGGGGUCCAGCCCAGAGCAGGGACAUGAGUCACCUUGCAGAUCAGCUGGCCUCCUGCUCUGCGCCCGAGUCCUGGGCCAGCCCGGGCUGCAUCCUGGGCUGCGUCCUGGCCAGGCCCCAUGCUCUGCUCCUCUCCUCAGCUGGGCAGUUGGAGACUUCGGCCCGUGCAGCGCUUCCUGCGGGGGAGGCCUGCAGGAGCGGGCGGUGCGCUGUGUGGAGGCCCAGGGUGGCCUCCUAAGGACGUUGCCCCGCUCGCGGUGCAGAGCGCUGGCCCAGCAACCUGCGGCCGUGGAGACCUGCAACGCACAGCCCUGCCCCACGAGGUGAGCCUCAGGGUGGGGCCGGGUCCCCCGCAAGGCCAGAUCCAGGCAGGGUCUCCCCAGCAGGGCUUGGCCCUGUGCUGAGCCCCUUCUGAGUGUCCCCGCUUCCCAAGGCCUCUGGCUGCACCUCCCCACCCCUCCCACCCCCGCCCCCGCGGCAGGGGAGUGUCAGCUUCCAAAUUACCAGCUACCCAGGAGGCCCUGGGUUGGCUAUUUCCCUUGGCACUUCCUCGUGGAGGGUCUGUGAGGACACGAAGGUAAAGCCAUAAAUGUCACGUUGUCAUUGCUAUUGUCAUGUCACCAUAUUGUCCCCCCACUGUGCUCUAGCUGGCAGAAACUUGCCAUUCCAAUUGGCCACUGACUUGGGUGGCCUGAGCAAGUCCCCUCCCUCUCUGGGCCCGUUUUGUUACCUGUCCGGUGGGGGUGGGGGUGGGCCUAGGUCACUGGCGGUCCAUACACGGCUCUGGGCACCUUCCACCACCUUGCAUCCGUGGCACAUGUCACAGCCAGUCACCACUCUUUUCUGCUGAGGGCUGAUCCUGCCGCAGACUCCUUAACACAGCACUCUAAGCAGCCACCACCUCUCAGCGGUGGCACAGGGGACGCAUUGACUGUCCCCAACCUGGUGAUCUGAUUGUGCCUGGCACUUGUUCCUUGGCACCCUCUAGGUUGUGUGGAGCGAUGCCCUUGGCUGGUCGGGGGCCCCGCCUCUGCUUCUGGGAGGCUGGUGGGUCGGGGCUUGUGUGCCUGCACCCUGGGUGUCAAGUCAGGGACCAGUGGCAGCUCCCCAGUCUUCAGGGAAGGGCCCCUGGUCUUGGCCUCUUUGUGGGGACUCCUCUUUGGGCUCUUGGAUAUUGGGGAGUAGGCUCACUGCCUCCCUGCCCCAGGAGCCGGGCUGCUCCGGCAGCUCAAUGGCGCGGGCAAGGCCUGAUGGCGAUCCCGUGCCAUCCUCAGAGAGACAUCGGACAUCUGCCCGUCAGCCUGUGGAGCAGAACUGGCCGUGCAGAAUGUGACGUGUGUGCAGGGGGCAGAGGGCAUGGGGGCGCUGGCCACUGCUGGGCCCUGCCCCACAGACCAGAAGCCAUCUGCCCUAGAGCCGUGUAUCGAGGUGACAUGUCCUCCAGGCUGGGGCCAUGUGAGUGUCCUGGGCACCAGAGGGCUGGGGCUUGUGGGUCCUUUUCUGGCCAGGAGAACGGGGAGCCCUGGUUCCCACUGGCCUCCUGGCCGGAGCCGGAAGACUGCCCAUCUGCAGGGCUGCGGUCCUUGGGGUUCCUUCGGUCAGAGGAUGAACUUAGAGUCAGGGCUUCUAGGAAGGCUCCUUCCCGCUGGCUCGCAGGCCCAGGACUCCAGACCCUGGUAGCUGCUGUCGGUUCUCUGCUACGUGGAGAAACGCGGCCACGCUCCUGCCGGCGUCCAUGGGCUCAGGCUGGGUGGGCUUGCUUCAGACAAGGGUGCUGGCCAACCGGGGCCCUCGGGAGCUGGUGGGGCUUUCAGGGCCAAGCAUGCCUGCAAACCUGGCUCCUGAACCCCCCGCUCAGUCACCCCUGCCACACGGUGACUGCUCACGCAGAUGCAGAGGCCGAGGCAGGGUGUGCGGCGAGGGCAUCCACUGGGGGCCAGAAAGCAAGGCUCCCGGGAAAGGGGCAGCGGGGCCGGGCAGCCUCUGGAGAGCUGGUGACACUGAUACUCUCUUUUGCACAGACUGGGGUGGGAGGGGGUGGAGAGCCAGGUGCCCAGGGGGCUGGAGGCAGGAAGCCCAGACCCACCAGCUUGUUUGUGGCCCCGCAGCUGGAGGCCCAGUCUCCAGGCGAAGAGGCUGUGUCCCCAGCGGGCAGCGCCAGGCUGGAGGUUCAGGCCGCACACGUGUGGACUCCUCUGACGGGGCCGUGCUCCGUCUCCUGUGGUCAAGGUGAGGCCCCCCCGCUCUCCUAAGCACCCACUAACUCUAAAAACCAUAUGAGGCGGCUUCCGGAAUAUCCAGCUGCAUCAGAACAUGCCUUUAAAUGCAAGGAGCUUGGGGCCAAGUAUGGACAAGCCAAAUGAAUGUGCUCAUUGAUUGGCUGGAAGAUAGGAAUUGUCAUAAAAGUGGCCAAAUUGGCACCUAAGAGCACGUUCUUAAGGUCUAAGAUGGGCCCCAAACUUAGCUCUGAGCUUCCUGGCGGCCAGACCAGAGAAACAAAGUUAGUGUUAAGAUACACAGUGUUCUUGGGAGUUCCCAUUGUGUCUCAGCGGUAACAAACCUGACUAGUAUCUGUGAAGGAUGCAGGUUCAAUCCCGGGCCUCGCUCAGUGGGUUAAGGAGCUGGUGUUGCCAUGAGCUGCGGUGUAGGUUGCAGAUGCGGCUUGGAUCUGGCAUUGCUGUGGCUGUGGCUGUGGCCAGCAGCUGGAGCUCCAAUUUGACCCCUAGCCUGGGAUCUUCUGUAUGUUACAGGUGUGGCC